rnacentral:rRNA from 1 species
GCUCAGUAACACGUGGACAACCUGCCCUUAGGACGGGGAUAAACCCGGGAAACUGGGUAUAAUACCCGAUAGGUCUCGAGUGCUGGAAUGCAUCGAGAUCUAAAGCUCCGGCGCCUAAGGAUGGGUCUGCGGCCUAUCAGGUAGUAGUGGGUGUAGUGUACCUACUAGCCUACGACGGGUACGGGUUGUGAGAGCAAGAGCCCGGAGAUGGAUUCUGAGACACGAAUCCAGGCCCUACGGGGUGCAGCAGGCGCGAAAACUUUACAAUGCUGGCAACAGCGAUAAGGGGACCUCGAGUGCCAGGUUACAAAUCUGGCUGUCGUGAUGUCUAAAAAGCAUUGCAUAGCAAGGGCCGGGCAAGACCGGUGCCAGCAGCCGCGGUAAU